GGAAUCUUCCACAAUGGGCGCAAGCCUGAUGGAGCAACACCGCGUGAGUGAAGAAGGUCUUCGGAUCGUAAAACUCUGUUGUUAGAGAAGAACAUGCAGGAGAGUAACUGUUCUUGUAUUGACGGUAUCUAACCAGAAAGCCACGGCUAACUACGUGCCAG
rnacentral:rRNA from 1 species